AUCGGAAACUCUGGGCGUGGCGCCCAGCAAUGGUCGCUUAAAUGGGAUCCUGACACAGGGAAGGUGGGCAGAGGAUUUUAAGGAAAGCUUAGCUGACGUGCUGGCCCUCGAUAAAGCCGCUUGUGGCCCAGACUGUCACCCGGAGCAUGCCCAGCCCUCGGUAGCCCUGGGCCCACAAGCCCUGACCAUGACCCAAGGAUUUCUGGAAUGCAUCAGUAGGUCAUCGCGUGCCCAGAACCACAGUUUUCCUGAAACCAGAAAGCUUCGUCUCUCCCGAAGACCAAAGAGAUACAGCACAAGCCGCAUCGCAUCAUCACCCCUCCCAAGCGACCACCCUGGCUGGAAGGCCAUCGCACUCUUCCCUUCCAGAAAACAGGCCACAUUAUAGUGACCCCAAAGGACCACCCAGUGUAGACCUGUCUGCGCAAAGGUGAUCCGGAAAAUCCAGGACUAGGGAAGAGGCAGAAGGGUAUGGGAAAGCCGAGACAGGAAACCAGAAGAAACGCGUCCUUGCUCUCAAGAGGUAAAAAUGCGGAAGGAAAUGGAGUGGGGGAAAUGUAUGCAAACGGCGCAGAAAGCAUGCAUCCUGGAAGCAGGAGCUGGACCUGGAUCAUGUGAAGACUUUGGACUCCAUAGGCACAGAGGAUGAAAAGUUAUGAAAUCCACACCUAUAAAAAGAAGCAUGGCAUUUGUAUGGCACACUGGUCCAGACGGAAGUGGAUGCUUCUCACCUGCACCACUCUGGGGCUCUGGGGGCCCUGGCACUGCCCAGCUGCCAUCCUGGGGUGCCCAGCCCAACACUUGGGAGGCUGUUGGUAUAAAAAGGCCAAAAUUGCAAUGGAAAGCUUCCAAUUCGAGGACCCCAAAUCGAGGACCCUGACGUACUCAUGGCUUUGGUCUCCUACUCAGUUUUCAAGGGCCACUAGGGCAGUUACAAACCUGUGAUGGUUUAAUCCCCAAACCAUGGUCCCCCAACUUUGCCCCAAGGGGUCCUGAGUACUGCAGAGCCUUCACAGGAGUUCUGUGGGGGUAUUUAAAAAUUUCUAGGAAAUACAGCAAUAUAAAACAUCUGUCAGACACCACACGGACAGGUCCUCCCACCGUUUCAACAAGAGAUGAGGCUACAUUUUUUCUCUUUUCUUUCCUCUCCUUCCCUCUCCUCUCCCCUUCUCUCCUCUCCUCUCCUCUCCUGCCAUGUAGAAGUUGCCAGGCCAGGGAAUGGAAUCAGUCCCACGGCAGUGACCCAAGCCACUGCAGUGACGGCGCUGGACCCUUAACCCACUGUACCGCAAGAGUACUCCGAUGCUACGUGACAUCAGAUGCCUGCGCUUAUGGGCAGGUGCUAUGAUAAAAAGCGCAAAAAUCAAUGUAAGACAGAAUUGAAGGUGGUGAUGCCCAGUCUGGUCCUAAGGUUUGGAAAGUUGUGCCGUGUCCAACAGGAAUACAUGACCCCCUACCAAGUAUUUGUGAUGACUUAAGAAGAAAUUAAAUUUUGCCAUUUUCUAAUUUACAGUGGCAUUUCUUCAAAUGGCUUCUAAAUUAUGAAGAGAGAACUACUUCAGUCAUUUGUACCUAGCUUCUUAGUUCGUUGGACUGUUAGGUAUUUCUGUUGGCUCAGAGACGUCAUGGGAAAAUUUUUUUUUUUCUUUUUUAGGGCCGCACCUGUGGCAUAUGGAAGCUGCCAGGCUAGGAGUUGAACCAGAACUGCAACUGCUGGCCUACACCCCAGCCACAGUAACACCAGAUGUGAGCCUCAUCUUUGACCUACAGCUUGUGGCAACAUUGGAUCCUUAACCCACUUAGCGAGGCCAGGGAUUGAACCCAUUCCUCAUGGAUACUAGUCAGGUUUCUUACCACUGAACCGCAACGCAAACUCUGCCAUGGAAAAUUAUUAGUACAGUAACAGUGCUGUAAAGGAGAAAGUUUGGCUAUCUCUGCACUAAGACAAUUCCCAGGAUCUCAAAUCCUCAGCAGUAGGAGGUGGGCUGGUAAAGUAGUGCCACCUCCAGAAGGGUCAGCCUGUCCCCACGCCCCUCUCCAAUGUGGCCAAGAAGAACAUAGCAGAGGGAGAGCCUAUCAAAGAACAGAGCUGAGCAUGGCCCCAGUGGCUGACCCAGGCCCUCACCCCACUGCCUUAUGUUCCAUCUAGACUUGACAAAGAGGGGUGCAUGUUAUCCAGAGCAUCUGGACUAGGAACUGGAUGGUCUCACUAGAAAGCACUUGAGCUUGGACCUGCUUUGGGGAAGAGGUAAGUACACGGAUGGAUAUGUGCAGGUUGGCUGUAUCAUGUUCAGGGAGAGAGAUCAGGAGAAACUAGAUGUAUGGGAAAAGAGAACGUGUGUGCACACAAGCGUGUGUGUGUGUGUGUGUGUGUGUGCGCGCGCGCACGUCUGUUCAUGUGGAACAGUCAAGGACUGGGAUGUAUUCGGCCAGUUGUCUUUCUUCCAUUGUGAAUCUGCCCUUUCCACACUGCAUGCUCUCUGGAUGCGACUCUUCCACCUCUCUGUCACCUUGACCUCUGGCCACAAGAAUGCAUAUGCCCAAAUUUGAGUUCCUUCACUAGACGUAAGAGAGAAAGUCCCUCUCUCUGGGGUUGCAAGGACCCUAUAGAGUGACUUGUCCUCGCAUAGAGAGAAUCUACAGGAGGAUGAAGCCACGCAGAGCUUAGCAGGAGUGACAAGGCGUUUUGAUUUUAUCAUUGAACCCACCCUCCUGGAUUUAUUCACGCCUGAUUCCGCCCAGGCUGGAUUUUUGUCACUGAGCUAAAAUGUCCCUUUUGUGCUUAGGGAGCUUGGAGCUAGGUUUCUGUCGCUUGUUAUUCAAAGAGCUCUGACUAACAGUGCCACUAGCAUAGCUUCUGAGGCAAGCAAGCAAAUCUGGGCUGGAAAAGCAAGGGACGGGACUUCACGCUUGUUGUUUUGCAGGCCAAGUCUUGAUGACAGUGUUGUGUUGGGCCCGUACUUUGAUGAGGAUUCCAAGUACCCUUGGUUCUGUGCAUUCUGGAACUCAUGCCUGCAACCGAUGCCUGCAACCCAGAGGCACAUUACCUUUGCGUGGCGCACACACUGUCCCUUAAGCCCAUUGUUCCCUGGAUCUCCUUGACGUGAAAAUGAAAAUCGUUUUCUACCAUUGGUCUGCCUUGUCAGAAAACAGGGCCAAGGGCUUUUAAGAAGUGGUGCUGCAGGUCCGUGACUGUAGGGUGGGCGACAUCACCCUUUGAGAGGGAUGAUUUCAUUGAUGUCCUUUCUGGAUGCACCUGCCAGCAAGCCCAGCCUCAGGAGAGAGGAAAAUCUGCACACAGCGCCCGAUGAGUCUUCGUAUACGGAAGCCUUUAUCGGCUGAUUGGCAGGGUCAAGUGGCCACUAUUCAGAGGGCGACAAGCCCUGUUAGUUGGCUCUUUGCCAGGCGCAAUUGCACAUGAGAAUGGUUCUAGUGAGCCUGUUCCAAGGAGUCCUUCUGAAUAGCCUGAGCUUCCCUCGUGGGAGCCCCUAGGACUGUCAGGCCAGGAAUGCACAACAGAAAACCCCCAGCCCGAUGGGGGCUCAGACUCAAACUCUCUUGGUGAACUCUGCCCUCAGGGGUGGAGGCACUAAGAGAGAAAGACCUCAAGGCACAAGCUUUUGGCUGAAAUGAGUGCUUAUUACUUUUGCUCUCUGCAAAAUAUUCUGGACUCUCUCCUGGAAUGUUUUGCCAUGUGUUCCAGGUGAUUUCUUCUAAUUAGAAAUCCUGGAGUUCCUGCUGGGGCACAAGAGGAUUGGUGGCAUCUUGGGAGCGCUGGGACAGUGGUUUGAUCCCUGGCCCGGCACUGUGGGUUAAGGAUCCAGCAUUGCUGCAGCUGCAGCAUAGGUCGUAACUGUGGCUCAGAUCUGAUACCUGGCCUGGGAGCUCCAUAUGCCAGGG
rnacentral:lncRNA from 1 species